rnacentral:tRNA from 1 species
GAGAAGGUGGCGCAACGGUAUUGUCUUUGCCUACGGACGCAGAGGUUGGGGGUUCGAACCCCCUUCGUCUUU